rnacentral:rRNA from 1 species
AUUGAACGCUGGCGGCAGGCCUAACACAUGCAAGUCGAGCGGAUGAAGGGAGCUUGCUCCUGGAUUCAGCGGCGGACGGGUGAGUAAUGCCUAGGAAUCUGCCUGGUAGUGGGGGAUAACGUCCGGAAACGGGCGCUAAUACCGCAUACGUCCUGAGGGAGAAAGUGGGGGAUCUUCGGACCUCACGCUAUCAGAUGAGCCUAGGUCGGAUUAGCUAGUUGGUGGGGUAAAGGCCUACCAAGGCGACGAUCCGUAACUGGUCUGGGAGGAUGAUCAGUCACACUGGAACUGAGACACGGUCCAGACUCCUACGGGAGGCAGCAGUGGGGAAUAUUGGACAAAGGGCGAAAGCCUGAUCCAGCCAUGCCGCGUGUGUGAAGAAGGUCUUCGGAUUGUAAAGCACUUUAAGUUGGGAGGAAGGGCAGUAAGUUAAUACCUUGCUGUUUUGACGUUACCAACAGAAUAAGCACCGGCUAACUUCGUG